AUAUAUGUGUAUACGCACGUAUAUGUAUAUAUAUAUAUAUAUAGACACACACGCACACAUACAUACACACACAUAUACAUAUACAUAUACAUAAUAAGAAGCUUUGUCACCUUGCUAAUAAGAGACCUUUGUUAUUGCUAAGGACACUACAGGAAAAUGGGCCUUUUCCGACGCUUUUUUACCGACGCUAGGAUGAAGCGUCGGAAAAAAUUUCACCGCUCAUACAUUUGCCGACGCUUUCAUUUAGCGUCGGCAAUUCUUAGGAAUAGACGACGCUUAUUAGCGUCGUCGUAUUUUCCGGCCUAAAACGACGCUUAUAAGCGUCGUCAAAAGUCAAAUUCACAACAAAACCAGCGGCCGCCCCCCUCCUCCUCAUUUUGCAUCCCAAUUGAUCAAACCCUAGCUCCUCUGGCUCCUCCUCCCUCCUCUCUGAUGACGAGCGACCGACCGACCCUUGUCCUCUUCGGCGCCGAGCGACGUCCUCCGCCAAGCUCCUCUCGUCCUCUCUCCUCUCCGGCGCCGAGCGACCGUCCGCAUCCUCCUCUCUCGUCUCCGGCGCCGAGCGACCGGCCACCAGUACGGACACCGCUUCGAGAGCUCAAAAAGUGAAGAGGCUCCGGACCAUCUACGACAAGCUCUCGCUCGAAGGUUUCUCUGCCGAUCAAAUCGAACAGGCUCUCUCUGCUCUCAAGAGGAUUCGCCUGAAUAUGUAUUUUGUCAAAGUCCAUGGAUUCAUAUUUCCGUUAUAUCAUGUCAAGACAACUGCAGAGAUUAUAGAGAAUAAAGUUAGGAUCUUCUGAAGAUGCAUUGAAACCAAAAUAGGUAUUUGACUUGUUUCUAUGUGGUCAACUUCAUCUUUUUUAUGUUUAGCAUUUCCAAUGUCUGUUAAAGAUACCCUGCUUUUCAUUAAGGAUCCAGUUUCAUGCUUGUUAAUGGACUCUUCUUUAAUUCUCUUUUUUCCCGGGUGGUAACUGCAUGAAUUAAUAAGUUGUGGGCAUAUUGCUACAAGCCUAUUGUUUGCUUUUACUGAGACCUCGUGUUUGUUUAUUUCCAUCUCUUCUGUCAUGCUUCUCCCUUGGUAAGGAAACCGGAGAAACAUGGUCACAUUUAUCUGCAAUUAGAGUGUACAGAAUUAAUGUUAAAAUCUAUCAAUCAGUCAAACUGAAGUACAAAUCACAAAUAUAUCUAACUCUCUUGUUGGCCACAUACGUUUUUAACUCCCUUUUAUGCUACUCUCUUGUUAAGAAUUUUGGGAAAAUCAUGGUUGCUUUCAGUUUGCCAUCAUAGUACACACCAUAGAGGAUAAAUGUCGAUGUUGGUCACUCUUUAUUGACGUCAAUUGGUUUUACUUAUACAAUACUCACCCUCAGUAGUAAAAAUGAUGCUUCUUUAUUUGUGGUUGUUUACAAGAAUUAUUUUAUCACGAUGCUAGCCAUAUGGUGUUUUAUAUUUUGUUGGUUUUGUUAGGUUUUAAGUGUAGAUGACAAAAGUAAUUCCCUGCUAUUAUUUAAUACUUGGAUGGUUCAUUUAUUAUUACUUUAUAUAUUUUUUUAUUUUACAUUUUGUAAUAUAACAUUUCUUUAUCCUUGAUUUUGAUUGAAGAUAGUGUAAUAUUUUUUGUUUUCCUAAAUAAUAUAUGGAUAUUUGCUUUUAACUUGUCAUGUCUGAUAAGAGGAUAUUCUUGAACAAGAGGGCUCCUGUUCAUUCAGUCCAUCACAUUCUGUUCCUCAAAGCAUUGUCUACAUUGCAAUCCGAGCUUCACAUUGCAUGCUCUUUAUACGUUGGGCCAAUUGUAUCUGAUUAUAGUGUUCAGGUAACAACAUGCCACGAGGAAAACGAUUCAGAGAUGUUGAGUUUCAGCACACAUCCGUGGGAUCUUCUUCCGAUCAGUCCCUACGGUCCCAGCAGCACGAGUCCCAUUCUCAGCACGAGUUCCAUACUCAACACGAGUCUCAGUCUGAGCACGUGUCACCUGCUGAUUGUCCAGACAUGGAUGACGUGCAUAUCCAAGAUGGACUGGGGAGAGUGAGGAGGACACGAGGACCCACUCGAGCACGGGAUGUGUGGAAUCUACAUGAGGAUGAGAAGAUCGUUGUCCAUUGCAAUAAACUGGGGCAGCCCAUCAAGAGGGCUGCAAGCAUUUUAUCGACUUUUCUAGGAUCGGUUGCGCGGAAUGGUCAGUUGUGUCCGCUCAACUAUACAAAAUGGAAUGAAAUGCUUCCUUCGUAUAAGGUUGAGCUUCUUAAAGUUAUUGAGCGUAAGUUUUUGCUUCCUAAAGAGAGCCAUGAUUGGGUGUUGUAGUCCGUCAACCGCAAGUGGAAAGAAUAUAGGGCCAAGUUAAAGGCGGACUGGAAGCACGAUGGUAUGACAGAAGAGGAGGUUGCCCAUGUUUGUCCUCCUGAUGUAAUCCCUCAUCAGUGGAGGGAGCUUGUCUACUACUGGUUUUCCGAGAAAGCUCAGGUUGUGUAUAUUAAUUCAAUACUUUAGAUUGUAUUUACUAAUAAUAUAGAUUACAAAUUUAUACAUUAAAUAUAUUAUAUUGUUUAUUCUUUUUUUGGGAAGACAUAUUCCAACAUUGGUAGAGCUGCACGAGCCUCUCAGACUGUUCCUCAUACUUCAGGCUCGAUGAGUUAUGCUAGGCGUAGAGCUGAAUUCAUGGAUGAUAAUGGGAGGGAGCCUAGUAAGGUGGAGUUUUAUAAGAUGACUCACACCCACCGAGAUGGCAGUUUUGUUCGGGAGGAGUCAAGAAAUAUAGUUGACAGGGCAACAACUCUUAUUUCAGAGCGCGUCGGAGAGUCAUCAUCAUCCGACGCGACCAGUCAUGUCGAAGCUCAGGUGCUCGCUGAAUUAUUGGGCCCAGAGCGUUAUGGUCGAGUGAGGGGUUAUGGCGUUGGAGUUACCCCCACUCAGUUGUCUGCAGUGGGCAUGUAUACAAGAAAUGCUGGAGAAGGCAGUAGCAAUGCAGAAGUUAGUAGACUUCGGGCAAUAAUUGAAGAUAUGAAGGAUCGCCAUCAGGCAGAGUUGGCAGAGCUGAAACAGAACUAACAAACUUUGCAGUCUCAGCUUGAGCAUAUUUCAUCUAUGUUACAGCGAUUUCUCCCUCCUCAGGUUCCUGAUACUUCAAUAGCUCGCAGAGAUGAUGAUGGGGCUGAAUGCGGUCCCUGAUAUUUUUUAGACUAUUAUUUAAUGAGUUUUAUAUGUAUCUUUCUUAUAUUUUUCAAAAUACAUUGUAAUUCUAAACUUAUGUAAAUUUAAUCUUAUAUGACAAUAUGAAUGUUUCGAAUGAUCUGUAUGUUUGUCUUGAUGUAAAUGUAAUGCAGG